CGCUGGCGGCGUGCCUAAUACAUGCAAGUCGAGCGGACAGAUGGGAGCUUGCUCCCUGAUGUUAGCGGCGGACGGGUGAGUAACACGUGGGUAACCUGCCUGUAAGACUGGGAUAACUCCGGGAAACCGGGGCUAAUACCGGAUGCUUGUUUGAACCGCAUGGUUCAAACAUAAAAGGUGGCUUCGGCUACCACUUACAGAUGGACCCGCGGCGCAUUAGCUAGUUGGUGAGGUAACGGCUCACCAAGGCGACGAUGCGUAGCCGACCUGAGAGGGUGAUCGGCCACACUGGGACUGAGACACGGCCCAGACUCCUACGGGAGGCAGCAGUAGGGAAUCUUCCGCAAUGGACGAAAGUCUGACGGAGCAACGCCGCGUGAGUGAUGAAGGUUUUCGGAUCGUAAAGCUCUGUUGUUAGGGAAGAACAAGUGCCGUUCAAAUAGGGCGGCACCUUGACGGUACCUAACCAGAAAGCCACGGCUAACUACGUGCCAGCAGCCGCGGUAAUACGUAGGUGGCAAGCGUUGUCCGGAAUUAUUGGGCGUAAGGGCUCGCAGGCG
rnacentral:rRNA from 1 species